rnacentral:rRNA from 1 species
AUUGAACGCUGGCGGCAUGCCUUACACAUGCAAGUCGAACGGUAACGGGCCUUCGGGUGCCGACGAGUGGCGAACGGGUGAGUAAUGCAUCGGAACGUACCUUUCAGUGGGGGAUAACGUAGCGAAAGUUACGCUAAUACCGCAUAUUCUGUGAGCAGGAAAGCAGGGGAUCGCAAGACCUUGCGCUGAUUGAGCGGCCGAUGUCAGAUUAGCUAGUUGGUGAGGUAAAGGCUCACCAAGGCGACGAUCUGUAGCGGGUCUGAGAGGAUGAUCCGCCACACUGGAACUGAGACACGGUCCAGACUCCUACGGGAGGCAGCAGUGGGGAAUUUUGGACAAUGGGGGCAACCCUGAUCCAGCCAUGCCGCGUGAGUGAAGAAGGCCUUCGGGUUGUAAGCUCUUUCGGCCGGGAAGAAAUCGUAUGGGUUAAUACCCUGUGCGGAUGACGGUACGGCAUAAGAAGCACCGGCUAACUACGUGCCAGCAGCCGAC